rnacentral:rRNA from 1 species
AAUAGAUACCCGGGUAGUCCACCCCGUAAACGUUGGGAACUAGUUGUGGGGUCCUUUCCACGGAUUCCGUGACGCAGCUAACGCAUUAAGUUCCCCGCCUGGGGAGUACGGCCGCAAGGCUAAAACUCAAAGGAAUUGACGGGGACCCGCACAAGCGGCGGAGCAUGCGGAUUAAUUCGAUGCAACGCGAAGAACCUUACCAAGGCUUGACAUACACCAGAACACCCUAGAAAUAGGGGACUCUUUGGACACUGGUGAACAGGUGGUGCAUGGUUGUCGUCAGCUCGUGUCGUGAGAUGUUGGGUUAAGUCCCGCAGCGAGCGCAACCCUCGUUCUAUGUUGCCAGCACGUAAUGGUGGGAACUCAUGGGAUACUGCCGGGGUCAACUCGGAGGAAGGUGGGGAUGACGUCAAAUCAUCAUGCCCCUUAUGUCUUGGGCUUCACGCAUGCUACAAUGGCCGGUACAAAGGGCUGCAAUACCGUGAGGUGGAGCGAAUCCCAAAAAGCCGGUCCCAGUUCGGAUUGAGGUCUGCAACUCGACCUCA